rnacentral:rRNA from 1 species
UUGAACGCUGGCGGCAUGCUUUACACAUGCAAGUCGAACGGCAGCGGGGGCUUCGGCCUGCCGGCGAGUGGCGAACGGGUGAGUAAUGUAUCGGAACGUACCCUGUCGUGGGGGAUAACACAGCGAAAGAUGUGCUAAUACCGCAUACGACCUGAGGGUGAAAGCGGGGGAUCGCAAGACCUCGCGCGAUAGGAGCGGCCGAUAUCGGAUUAGCUUGUUGGUGAGGUAAAGGCUCACCAAGGCGACGAUCCGUAGCUGGUCUGAGAGGACGACCAGCCACACUGGAACUGAGACACGGUCCAGACUCCUACGGGAGGCAGCAGUGGGGAAUUUUGGACAAUGGGGGCAACCCUGAUCCAGCCAUUCCGCGUGAGUGAAGAAGGCCUUCGGGUUGUAAAGCUCUUUCAGCAGGAACGAAACGGUGGCCCCUAAUACGGGCUACUAAUGACGGUACCUGAAGAAGAAGCACCGGCUAACUACGU